AAAGGUCACGGAUAUAUUAACUGAACUAAAAUGAUCUUAUUAGAUAAUUGGAUCACAAACACCAGUUCUCCGUACACGGUGUCAUUAUCACAGACACAUAUUGUGGCAAAGUUUACUUAUUUCUUAGAGCAAAUGCUUGCUUCUUAAGCUUUCUCUAGAGCAUUGUUGCCCAUGCAAUAGUUCUGACUGCAGUUUGAAAUGCA
rnacentral:lncRNA from 1 species